rnacentral:rRNA from 1 species
AGCUCCAAUAGCGUAUAUUAAAGCUGUUGCAGUUAAAAAGCUCGUAGUUGGAUCUUGGGCCUAGGCUGGCGGUCCGCCGAAAGGCGAGUCACUGCCUGUCCUGGUCUCUCCUUCGGUGCUCCCCCGGUGCUCUUAGCUGAGUGCCGGGGGUGGCCGGAACGUUUACUUUGAAAAAAUUAGAGUGUUCAAAGCAGGCCCCGACGCCUGAAUAGUCCAGCAUGGAAUAAUGGAAUAGGACCUCGGUUCUAUUGCGUUGGUUUUCGGAACGCGAGGUAAUGAUUAAGAGGGACUGACGGGGGCAUCCGUAUUGCGGCGUUAGAGGUGAAAUUCUUAGAUCGUCGCAAGACGAACAACUGCGAAAGCAUUUGCCAAGAAUGUUUUCA